GAUGAACGCUGGCGGCGUGCCUAAUACAUGCAAGUCGAGCGAAUGGAUUAAGAGCUUGCUCUUAUGAAGUUAGCGGCGGACGGGUGAGUAACACGUGGGUAACCUGCCCAUAAGACUGGGAUAACUCCGGGAAACCGGGGCUAAUACCGGAUAACAUUUUGAACCGCAUGGUUCGAAAUUGAAAGGCGGCUUCGGCUGUCACUUAUGGAUGGACCCGCGUCGCAUUAGCUAGUUGGUGAGGUAACGGCUCACCAAGGCAACGAUGCGUAGCCGACCGGGGAGGGGGAUCGGCCACACUGGGACGGAGACACGGCCCAGACUCCUACGGGAGGCAGCAGUAGGGAAUCUUCCGCAAUGGACGAAAGUCUGACGGAGCAACGCCGCGUGAGUGAUGAAGGCUUUCGGGUCGUAAAACUCUGUUGUUAGGGAAGAACAAGUGCUAGUUGAAUAAGCUGGCGCCUUGACGGUACCUAACCAGAAAGCCACGGCUAACUACGUGCCAGCCGCCGCAGUAA
rnacentral:rRNA from 1 species